AUGGAAGGCUGCUGGGUGUAGUCAAGUACUUGACUUAUCGAUGCGUGUGUCAAGAUGGGAUUGACCACUCCAGUUUAGGAGCUGUGUACAGUCGUGUUUCAAUUUAGCAAGACCUUGGCCAGGGUAGUCCUUGUGAGAAGUCACAAGACUGUUUGAGUUGAGCACGAUUCAGAUGAUCUGAUCAGGAUUGACAGUUUAACCCUGAGUCAUCCUAAACACAGGGGUCAAAAGGAUGAAUUAUACAGUAACCAUAUUUAUGUAGGUUUUGAGUGUUGGGAUUGCGACUCUUCGACCUAUCCGAACGUCGGGUACCAUUGCUAGAUGGUCACUUCGAUUAGUACAGGAAUUGGUUCUUGUGCUACCGGCUUAGGUUCGAACCUGUGGGGUCACACACAUUAGAGGUUCCUAUCUAAUCUGAUGGCUGAUGUAGAAUCCUACAUGUUUGAGACUCAAUGAUUGAGAAUCAGG
rnacentral:lncRNA from 1 species